GACGAACGCUGGCGGCGUGCUUAACACAUGCAAGUCGAACGAUGAAGCAAAGAAUCGAAGCUUCGGCAGAAAUUCAUUUCGGAUUAGUGGCAGACGGGUGAGUAACGCGUGAGCAACCUACCUCUUACAAAGGGAUAGCCUCGGGAAACCGGGAUUAAUACCAUAUAACAUUGCGACGAAGCAUUUCGAUGCAAUCAAAGCUACGGCGGUAAGAGAUGGGCUCGCGUCCCAUUAACCGGAUGGUGAGGUAACGGCUCACCAUAGUGACGAUGGGUAACCGGCCUGAGAGGGGGAACGGUCACACUGGAACUGAGACACGGUCCAGACUCCUACGGGAGGCAGCAGUGGGGAAUAUUGCACAAUGGAGGGAACUCUGAUGCAGCGACGCCGCGUGAGUGAUGAAGGAAUUCGUUUCGUAAAACUCUGUUCUAUGGGAAGAAAAGGACUGUACCAUAGGAGAAAGCGCCGGCUAAAUACGUG
rnacentral:rRNA from 1 species